UACGUAGGGGGCGAGCGUUGUCCGGAUUUAUUGGGCGUAAAGAGCUCGUAGGCGGUUCGAUAAGUCGGACGUGAAAUCUCCACGCUCAACGUGGAGGGGCCGUUCGAUACUGUCGUGACUCGAGUCCGGUAGGGGAGUGUGGAAUUCCCGGUGUAGUGGUGAAAUGCGUAGAUAUCGGGAGGAACACCAGUGGCGAAGGCGACUACCUGGCCUGUUCUUGACGCUGAGGCGCGAAAGCUAGGGGAGCAAACGGG
rnacentral:rRNA from 1 species